GACGAACGCUGGCGGCGUGCCUAACACAUGCAAGUCGAGCGGGAACCUCUCGAGGGGUAACCCUUGGGAGGGGAGAGCGGCGAACGGGUGAGUAACACGUGGGCAACCUGCCCCGGACACCGGGAUAACCCAGGGAAACCUGAGCUAAUACCGGAUACUCCGGCGUGAUCGCAUGGUCGCGCCGGGAAAGCUCCGACGGUCCGGGAUGGGCCCGCGGCCUAUCAGCUUGUUGGCGGGGUAACGGCCCACCAAGGCGACGACGGGUAGCUAGUCUGAGAGGACGGCCAGCCACACUGGGACUGAGACACGGCCCAGACUCCUACGGGAGGCAGCAGUGGGGGAUCUUGCGCUAAUGCGCGAAAGCGUGACGCAGCGACGCCGCGUGGGGGAUGAAGGCCCUCGGGUUGUAAACCACUUUCGGCAGGGACGAAGCGAAAGUGACGGUACCUGCAGAAGAAGUCCCGGCUAACUACGUGCCAGCCGCCGCAGUAACAC
rnacentral:rRNA from 1 species